rnacentral:lncRNA from 1 species
ACAGAAGAAAUACAAUAAAACAGGAAACCUCAAAUUAAGUACUGAGUUAUUACAUAAAUCGGAGUUCUUGAGUAGCAAAUAAAGUUCACAAAAUAAAGUGCAGCGGAUAAUCGAUGUCGUCGGUACUGAGGAAAUGGGCAAGGCCUAGCCCACUACUCCUCGUGCUCCUCUCCUGCCGGAGCAACAACCCACUCGACCGUCCAACCCGGUGGCAGGGUGGCAGGCCAAGUCACACCAUCAACCAAUUCCUGCAUGGUACCUGCAAAAAUGGUGCCACAAGCAAGGCUGAGUAUACUAAUACUCAGCUAGACUUAACCGGUGUGAGGAGUCUACUCCUCUACCUCUAGACCAUGCAGCUGUUUGGCUGAGGGGUUUGGUUUGCCAAAAGCACUAGCUGUUUCUAAAAUCAAUUUUUAGCCUUUCAAGUUCUAUCAUCAUUAACUUAGCUAGGUUUGCUCCUUCUAAGCAUACAUGGUAACAACCAAUUAGUUCAAUCAACGAAUUAUCUCAUGUAACCACAUUUCACUUCUUACUCGAUGCAGUACAAGGAAUCAAGCAGCCUCAUUAGCUGCGAGAAGCAGACGAUUCGAAUCGAGUUUUAAACCUUGCAAGGUAAACCUAAACACACGGCAUGUCAGGGUACUCCGACCCCGCACAUGACAACCGUCCCCAUCAAUUCCCCGUUCGCGUCCAGGCCUCACCGCCUUGGCAUACAAUGCUCCACUGACCCCGGCUGCCGCCGUGCAGUGACCGCACUUGUACCCACCAUAGCUAGCAUGGGAGACCCAGUCUCAGGUCGCAUGACGGAUAAAGUCUGCGCCCGGCUUCACUCAGGUACUAGGUUUACCGGUUACCAUUUUUCCCGGCAUGUGCUUAGUACGUUCAAAAGCUUGACUCAGGUAUCCACACAUUAAUCCUUAAUUCAUUUUUCCCGUCUCAUGGACAAGGCAUCCUCCCUGGAUCCAAAUCCAUAGACCAACAUAGAUCCCGUUAUCAAGAUGAAUACAAUCAAUUCCUGACCUCGCGCGAGUGCUAGAAAAAUCACUCGACUUCUACCGAGAUCCUGAUUAGCAAGCAGCUACUCGACCUGGCAUACUAGUAUUCAUCUCAAAAAGGAAUCCUAAGUUUAUGCAACUAGAGGUUUCAAGCAACUCCUACACUUAAGUGCACAUUGCAAUCCUACAAGCAUUAAGUGUAGUAAAGUAGCAUAUAAUAACAUGGUUAUGCAUAAAACCGGGGCUUGCCUUCAAUUGCUGGGGCUGCGGGGAGAUCCUCAAUAGCAGCCUCUGAAGCCUGCUCCUGGUCCUCCUCUUGGACAGGUCCUUGCUCGGGGAUGAGCACGUACUCUCCGUCGGCAAGAUUACAAUCUAAUGAAUGCAAUGCGUAAGAUAUAUGCAUGAUAUGAUAUGUGCUUUUAGAAAUUACAACUUUAAAGGUGUAUGAUCUUUUGAGUUAAAACAAGUUAACUUUACUUAUGUAAAACCCUUAGUGGUAUACUUGGUAAAUUGGGUUAUACUUAGCUAAGGUAAGGGGUAGGUUUAUUUUUUUGGGGUUCCACUGAAUUCCUUUUAAGUCUUAGGGAUAAAUGAUAAGUUCUCAAGUUAGACUUAUUGGGGUGAGGUUUAUUUCUUCUUCUCUUUUCUUUUAUUCUCUUUAAUGUUUUGGAGUAGGUCUGAACUACAAGUUGCUUUUAUAAAAUUCUAAAAAUUCUGCAAAAAUUGCAGUGGCUUGUUACUGGUGUGUUUUGCUCUGUCUCAAAAUUUGGGGAUCAGAAGGUGAAUAGUUUUCUCUGGACAAAAUUAUCAAACUCUAGGGCAGAAGGGGUGCUUUGAACUACAACUACUAUUUAAUAGUGGGUAAUUCUCUAAAACUUAUUUUUGCUGGCUUUUAGGUGUUAUAACAUGACUUGAUACAAAUUUUUAAUCAUUAAUACCUCUUAAUAAAUUUUCUAUGGUUUUCUCAAGUUUCUAGCCAAAUGGGUGCUUUCUACUACCACUAUAUUUGAAAAAUAUCAAACAACAGAGUUCUUAUUUUUCUUGGUUAUUAUUUUGUGCAAGAGCAAUCAUUCUGAAGUUUGGCUUCUUUUAGCUUAAGGGAAGGGGUGGUUUGCAUUAUUUGAAUUAAGUGGUCUUUCUCUUUAAUCAUUAGCAAAAGGUAUGGGUUUACUUCUUCUUCAUGGGUUUGCAUUUUUCUCUGGUAGUUUACCUCAUCACGAGCUUAGCAAAUUUUUGGUUGCCUAUUAUCACAUUAAAAGGGGUUGUUCAUGAUUUAUUUGGAAAAUGCCUUAUUAUCACCUUGUAUUUAUUUUCUUUACUUAAAAAGUUGGGCUGAGGUGCUCUGUAUUUUUGUAGUGGGGCUCUGGUGGUUAUAAGUCCACUAGAUUUUUAUUAAUCAUUUUGGUUAUAGUUUUGUAACUCUAAUAAUUGAUUUUCAGUCUAUAUGAGGCUAAACAAAUCAUCUUAAUUUAAAACUGGUCCAAAUUAAUGGUCUCUGUAUAUUUCCUAGGUUCUCUGUUGCAUAAGUAAACUAGGAAAAAUAUUAUUAAUCACUGUUCAUUAAUUUCUAAGGCCUUUCUGAUUUUCUCUAAGUUUUGGACAAUUUAGCUUUAAAUGAAAAACUACAUCAUAUUUUUCAAUGCUGGGUUUCCUACUAUUUUUAAACAGUGCCUAAAUAAGGUUUAAACAUCUACAAUUUUUCUUAAGCUCAGCACAAAGGAAAAACAAAUUUUCCUUAAUUAAACAAGUUUUAGUGGGUUUCUGUUUUUAAAUUUAAACUUUAAAAUUUAGAACAGAAAGCAUGGGGUUUACUAUUUUUAAAUGAUAGAUCAUAAAAUUCAGAAGCUAGCAAAAUUGGUUUGACAACUUUUUAUUAAGAUUUCAUCAAGUUAUGGAUUUUCUAAGUUCUCUGGUCAUUUUAAAAAGAAUAACAGAAUUGAUUAAAUGGAAAUCCACUUUGCACUGGGGUCCCUGGCGGUUUUCUAAGUUUUCUUCGCGAAUCAGUCCUUAGGUUACUAUUCACAUGAGUCACUGACAUUACAGAAAACCCCUCGGGUUCUACCAAUCCUAACCCGAGGUCCUUCUUCUACCUCAAACAGUAACCGCGGCGGAGAAAAGGGCGGAGGGGCUUACCGGCGGCAAGAUUGCUCCGGUGAAGUGGUCGAGGACGAAGGGGAGGUCUCGGGGAUCACAACGGUGUGCGGAACGCCGUCGGAGAUGGCCGGAGUCGGUCGGUCCACGCGCGCAGGCGGGGAUGCUCGUCGGCGGCGAGGAGACCGGCCUGGUCACGGCGAGAUAGUUCAAUCAAAUAGGUCAGGGAGGUCCACGGGAUGCCAGAGAAGAUAUGCGCGAAAGGAAUUGGGCGGAGACUCACUGGAUAGCUCGGUCCACGCGCGACGGCGGAAGACCGAAGUCCGGUGAGGUCAAUCUCUGGCCUCCGGUGAAAUCCGGUCGGGUCCGAGGGCUUGGCAAGCUUCACGGGCUACUGGCGGAGCUAGCCGAAGCACUGGCUGGGCUUGAGGGUGGCUGGAGUUGGCUGGCCACGGCGGCCGAAGCUCUGGCGGCAAUGGCAGGCGAAAUUAAGCUUGCCGGAGCUAAGGAAAGGUGGCUGGCCAGAGAGGGUGAGUGCGGGGCGAAGAGAGGUGCGCCCGGGGAGGCUUUAUAGGCGCGGGCGGGCACAGCCGAGGGCGUGGGCGCGCGGCGGACUUGACCGGACGCCGGGGUGAGCGCGCGCGCGGGUUGGGCGAGCUCUGGCGUGCCGACCAGGGUCGAACACGUGUGCCCGUGCGUUCUGCCCAAGUUCUGGCGCGUGUGGUCGCUCAUCCGAGCCUGCUCUCGCCUUGGUCAGUGCACAAAACCUCUUCUCCUCCCUACAAGCUACCAUUCUUGUGUGGGGGUCAUAGGAUUUUGCCUACUGGUUGCAGAGAUAUGGAGCGAGGAAAUCUGGUCUGUCUCCCUGCCCAAACCCGAGGCAAAUCCAAGGUUUUGUCGUGUCUAGGGCUCGCGUCCCAAUGCCAUCUUCUGGCACACGACAGAGGGGUUAGUUAGACACAAUUUUGUCAAUGGGGCCAUUACUAUUCGAGUUAGGGAUCAAGGUGAACAUCCCUGAUCUUUGGCUCAAGGUCUGAAUUUCAGAAUUCUGAAAUUUAGAAAUCCCAAUGAGUCCCCACAUGAGAAGCUUGAUUUGGGGUUUUAUUUGAGUUAUUUUGGCUAAGCUUUCUCAACAUUUCUUGUUGCCCAUUAAAUAUUCUUUAAUUUUCAUAAUUGGCUCAAAUCAUAAUUUUAAACUUUUCAUUCCCUUUUUCUUAUUUUCUUGAAUUUUGCUCAUGGGGCUCACUUUAGGGUUUUUAAUUAGGGUUGCACAUUCUUAUCUUUUCAAAGACUCAAUUGUUUUGAUCAUGUUACUUUUAAGUAUAUACUUGGUGAAUUCUCUAUUACUUAAGUUGUUUUGAUGCUCAUGCUUACUUUGGUUCACAUAAAAUGAUGGUUCUUGGUUUGGCAUUUGAGAAAAACCCUGAGUGACACUGGGGUGUCACAGUACGCCACUAGGGCCAUUGGAUGAGAGAUCUACCGCACAGAUUUAAAAUAUCCAAACUGUUUUCCAUCCGCCAGAUCGGGAUCGAACGACCACGGUUGCAUCAUCGCCAACCGGUACCCGAAUCAGAUCUUGACCGUUAAUCCCUAUCAACGGUCGCACUCCUUCCCCCAACCCUCCUACCUACGACGCACAUGCGGCGACGGCCGCAGAGCCCACUGCAGAGGAGUUCGCCGUCGAACUCCGUCCGACGAAUUGGGGCCCCAAAUUCCAAAUCAAUAGGUGUUGUACGUAGAGAAGGAUGAGGCGAAGCUAUGGGUUAGCAGACUACCUGCGAGAAAGGCGCCCACAAGGCUGGCCACGGCAUGGUGUGAUCGUCGGUGAUUUCCCAAGUCUGGUGAGAAAUUGGGUUGGAAACGGGGGUCGUCGUCGUCCGUCAAUGCCACGAUGAGCCAGCACACACCCAGGCGGCCAUCCCUGACCACAGUGCGGACUUCAAUCGGCGAUGCAGGCCAAGGACUGCGACGGUGACUCCAUUCUCACCUCCCAGAUCAACGGACGGAGUCGUUUCUUCCCCAUAAACUACAGAGCGGCGGCGGGCUUUAGUUUGUACGGCGGCGAGCCCUUGUAGCUGGAGGGCGAGGGCGAGGGCGAGGGCGGUUCGGUAAGUAGAAGGGCAACAUGGGCGGCUUGGGCGUCUGAGGCACCUUCACCGGUGACGCUGGCAGGCCAACGCCCAGCUUUGUUGUUCACCACUGCCACCGCCGGCUCCCGGACUGCAAUCGACUUGCAGCAACAGAGGCCCUUGGCACCCGACGGAUCAAGCGGUGGGAGCACAAAAUUUGGAAUCGAAACUAGGCUAGUCAAAUAUUUACCUCGGUUUCUAGAACCCGUCAUUGUAUAGCGGACUCCUGACGGACGCCAUCAGCUCGCACCAAAUCUAUUGCCACGGAAGGGGGCCUUCAUUGCUUGUUCUAGACGCUUGGGAAAAACCAGCCCCAAGUACGAUGUACACCGGUGAGCACCCCUGAUCCCCCACCCAAAUCCGAGCAAUCGGUGCUCAGCGGUGCUUUUACUCGCCGAUGGCUUAUGGGAGGUCGCAGGGGCCAUCUUAUAUGUACCUGGGCAGGGCCAUGGGGGCGGCAGACUCCUAGGAUUCCGGUGGGGGUUUGGCCGGUGCAACCCCCCGGAUUUGAUGGGAUAGCAGCGGCACCGGGUGUGUUUGUUGCCAGGAAUCACGCAGUCUGUUGGAGUCCUACACGGGGAAGACAACGCUGACGGGUUGGCCCACGAUGUCAGAGACUCGCCAGCAAGCGCGUGGUAGUCUGAGAGGGCAC